UACGAAGGGUGCAAGCGUUACUCGGAAUUACUGGGCGUAAAGCGUGCGUAGGUGGCUUGUUAAGUCUGUUGUGAAAGCCCCGGGCUCAACCUGGGAAUGGCAAUGGAUACUGGCAAGCUAGAGUGCGGUAGAGGGUAGUGGAAUUCCCGGUGUAGCGGUGAAAUGCGUAGAGAUCGGGAGGAACACCAGUGGCGAAGGCGGCGACCUGGACAGUCACUGACACUCAACUACGAAAGCGUGGGGAGCAAACAGG
rnacentral:rRNA from 1 species